UACGAAGGUGGCAAGCGUUGUUCGGAAUCACUGGGCAUAAAGCGCGUGUAGGCGGCUAGGUAAGUCGGGUGUGAAAGCCCUCAGCUCAACUGAGGAACUGCGCCCGAAACUACCUUGCUUGAGGUCUGGAGGGGAGAGUGGAAUUCCCGGUGGAGCGGUGAAAUGCGUAGAUAUCGGGAGGAACGCCGGUGGCGAAAGCGACUCUCUGGACAGAUCCUGACGCUGAGACGCGAAAGCUAGGGGAGCAAACGGG
rnacentral:rRNA from 1 species